UCUACCGCAUGGAUGAUUGCCACGUGUAUAAUACUUACCAUGUUCAAAGCCUACAAUUGUGCUUGACAAUUAAUACGGUAAGUGUUAUACACGUGUCAAUCAUCUAUGAGGUUGGAA
rnacentral:pre_miRNA from 1 species